UACCACUUCAUUCUGUGACUUCCACACACAGCCAAAUUUUCUCCAGGGAUCUAUUCCUUGAGACCUAUUGAGGAAGUCGCAUCUUUUUUAUCCUUGUGAUUGUCAAACCAGCCAUAUAAGUUUUGCUUUCAGAAUUUCACGUGAGUCAACAUUGAAACCAGAAAUAAUUUUGACUAUAAGAGCAGAAGACCACACUUUAGCAGUCUGCAAAAACGCCGACAUAUGGUUGCCGACAGUCCCAAUGGACUAUGAUCAAGAGUUUUUUUAGACGGCCCUUAAGGAACUUUGCUUGAUCAGUUUUAAGGCAGUGCUUAUAAAAACACUAUUCUAUAGAUUUUAUAUACAAAAAGGAUAACCAUUUAAGUUCCAGUCAGAAGCACGAAUAUAGGAGCUCUACCCAUUAAAUUCUAAUAAAGGAGAAUUUGAUUAAUCCCUAU